rnacentral:rRNA from 1 species
UACGUAGGGUCCGAGCGUUGUCCGGAAUUAUUGGGCGUAAAGAGCUCGUAGGCGGUUUGUCGCGUCUGCUGUGAAAUCCCGAGGCUCAACCUCGGGUCUGCAGUGGGUACGGGCAGACUGGAGUGCGGUAGGGGAGAAUGGAAUUCCUGGUGUAGUGGUGGAAUGCGCAGAUAUCAGGAGGAACACCGAUGGCGAAGGCAGUUCUCUGGGCCGUAACUGACGCUGAGGAGCGAAAGCGUGGGGAGCGAACAGG